rnacentral:rRNA from 1 species
GACGAACGCUGGCGGCGUGCCUAAUACAUGCAAGUCGAGCGAGCUUGCCUAGAUGAAUUUGGUGCUUGCACCAAAUGAAACUAGAUACAAGCGAGCGGCGGACGGGUGAGUAACACGUGGGUAACCUGCCCAAGAGACUGGGAUAACACCUGGAAACAGAUGCUAAUACCGGAUAACAACACUAGACGCAUGUCUAGAGUUUAAAAGAUGGUUCUGCUAUCACUCUUGGAUGGACCUGCGGUGCAUUAGCUAGUUGGUAAGGUAACGGCUUACCAAGGCAAUGAUGCAUAGCCGAGUUGAGAGACUGAUCGGCCACAUUGGGACUGAGACACGGCCCAAACUCCUACGGGAGGCAGCAGUAGGGAAUCUUCCACAAUGGACGCAAGUCUGAUGGAGCAACGCCGCGUGAGUGAAGAAGGGUUUCGGCUCGUAAAGCUCUGUUGGUAGUGAAGAAAGAUAGAGGUAGUAACUGGCCUUUAUUUGACGGUAAUUACUUAGAAAGUCACGGCUAACUACGUGCCAGCAGCCGCGGUAAUACGUAGGUGGCAAGCGUUGUCCGGAUUUAUUGGGCGUAAAGCGAGUGCAGGCGGUUCAAUAAGUCUGAUGUGAAAGCCUUCGGCUCAACCGGAGAAUUGCAUCAGAAACUGUUGAACUUGAGUGCAGAAGAGGAGAGUGGAACUCCAUGUGUAGCGGUGGAAUGCGUAGAUAUAUGGAAGAACACCAGUGGCGAAGGCGGCUUCCCUGGUCUGCCACUGACGCUGAGGCUCGAAAGCAUGGGUAGCGAACAGG